AUUGAACGCUGGCGGCAGGCCUAACACAUGCAAGUCGAACGAGUGGCGGACGGGUGAGUAAUGUAUGGGUAUCUGCCCGAUGGAGGGGGAUAACUACUGGAAACGGUAGCUAAUACCGCAUACUAUCGGAUGUACCCAGAUGGGAUUAGCUAGUAGGUGGGGUAACGGCUCACCAGGGCGACGAUCCCUAGCUGGUCUGAGAGGAUGACCAGCCACCCUGGGACGGAGACACGGACCAGACUCCUACGCGAGGCAGCAGUGGGGAAUAUUGCACACUGGGCGCAAGCCUGAUGCAGCCAUGCCGCGUGUAUGAAGAAGGCCUUCGGGUUGUAAAGUACUUUCAGCGGGGAUGCGUUACCCGCAGAAGAAGCACCGGCUAACUCCGUGACAGCAGCCGCGGUAAUAC
rnacentral:rRNA from 1 species